CUCGCUGAGGACCGAGAGACGUUGGUGUGCAGGAGAUUCAGUGCGUGUGUUUUUCAUUCCCGUGUGGAUUUGUUUCAAAGACAUUGUCAUCUGUGUAGAAGCCAGUUUCAAUCUCUGGUUUCUACCCCUUGCCCUGCUGGCAGGGCAUUGAGCGGCACCCGUUGCCGGCCAGCUGGGUGCAGGAGAUCGAGGAGGGUGAAUGGAGGAGCAACCCUGAGCAUCUGCCAUCCAGCUCCAUCUGAUCUAGAGCAAGAUGGAGCGAAUAAGGCGGAUGCUCAGGAGGAAGGCCGGGCAGGUGGCUCCAGAGCCAGCAGAAAACAUCAGCCAGCCUUCCCAGGAGGAGAGCGGCCCCUCUGUCCCCACGGGCGGGGAAGAGGCUUGUGGCCGGGGUAAGGAGAGGAGCUGCGUCGCCUGCUGGAGGAGGCGGAAGACAGCAGCUCCGCUAGCUGACCCUGAGGCACCUUCUGGGCUGAAAUGGAGGUGGCCCCGGGUUCAGCUGUGGAGGAGAGAGCCAGGAGAGGGCAGGAGCCGGAGAAGGCAGCUCUGGGGCUUCCUUUGCAGAAAGCCAAGGAGCCAGGAGCUGCGCCCCAGGGCCCAUCAGGAGCCGUCCACCACCAUGGCAACUGAGGGGCCCUGCUCCAGCCCCACCCUGGCCCUGGAGGAGCCUCCCACCAGCCCCACCCUGGCCCCAGAGGAGCCUCCCUCCAGCCCCACCCUGGCCAUAGAGGAGCCUCCAGCCCCACCUUGGCGACUGAGGAGCCUCCCGCCAGCCCCACCCUGGCGACUGAGAAGCCUCCUGCCAGCCCCACCCUGGCCAUGAAGGAGCCUCCUGCCAGCCCAGAGCAGGAGUUGAGCGACUGCGUGACAAACACCAGCAGCUCCGCAUACUCCUGCGGGGCCAGCAGCUCCUCCGUGGGGUCUGGCACCCCUGUCUUUGAAGGCUCCCUCUUUGGAGACACCCCCAGUGCCCAGGUGUCGUGGCCUGAGGAGGAGGAAGAGGAGGAGGAGUAGGAUUUGUGCCCUGAGGAAGAUACCAUCUUGGUGAUCCAGCAGCACCUCCAGGGCAGAGCUGAGGCUCUGCACAACCGCUAUUCGCGAAGCCUGGACACCAUCCUCAGGGACCGGCUAAUAGAGACCCCCACCAUGGAGAAGCUGCAGCACCUCCUGGAGCACGUCCAUCCCUCUCUCCUGUCAAACAACACCCAGGAGAGAGCCAGGGCCGUACAGACCCGCGCGGCCCUGCUCCAGUUUGCCACCUCCCUGCCUGGAUUUGACGUCUUUGGCGAGCUCUUCACGGAGGAGCAGAAAAGAUCUUUCCUCCAGGCGGGGCUGCUGGCCAUCCACCACCACCUCCUCCACGUCAGCCAGGCUGGCCUGGUGCUGACCUAUUCCAUCUUGGGGGAAGCCGGCCAGUUGCUAGAGGAUGAGGUAACCAAAGAGGGGUCACCUGGGGAGAGACCCCCAGGGCCUUUCACCUCCAAGCCAUUGAAAAUCACUCCCAUCCCAUCCCCAUGUGCUGACCAGGGAGCAAGGAGAGGAUGAACCCAGGCAGGUGCCAUUGGUCAGAGCCAGCUUGUGCCCUGAGCAGCUCAAAGCAGGGCCGACCCAGCUCCCCAGCAAGGCUAUUUCCUAACAGGUGUCACAUCAACACGACACACUGCCAUUGCUCAUGCUAGGGGCUGCCAACUCCCCUAGCCACCUCUGUGAGCCUUUCAUCCCCCUCCGGGCCUCAGGCCGGUUCCUAGAGCUCUGGUAUCGUGUUAUCCCAGCCACCACCUGCUACGGGAGAACUGGAGGAGUCAGGCAGCAGAGCCUGCUUAAGUGCCCCAUUCACCAGAGCCACUGCCCAUGGCAUCAUGUUAAGGACAUGGGGAUCCCUGGGGGAAAGGUGUCCACUUCUUCUCACCCCCUGGCACUACUGCCCAAAGCCUCCCAGCCCCUGAGCUGGAGGGGGCGAGGGUGGCUGAGGGGACUCUGGGGAGCGGAGUGGGUGUCGGAGUCUCUGAUUGAUCCUUGUUCCCUUGCAACAGGGGGACAUUACAGCCAACCUCAUGGUCCAACUAUUUAAUAUCAGGGACUUGGGCCAGGUGCCCAAAUCCCUGCAGUGGCUGUGCUCCGUGGGGCAGCAUUGAACACCCCCCCUCUUUGUAUGACCAGCUCCCACCCCCUGCCGCAGCCUCGCUCCAGGCCCUCCAUCCACCCGCUCCAGCUCUGCCUGCUCCUCCUCCUGAUCUUCCCCAACCCCUCCGAUUUCGACUACAUGGCUUCGACCUUUGCGUGGAUAUGGACUUUGGCUCGUACUUCUGACCACCC